UACGGAGGAUGCGAGCGUUAUCCGGAUUUAUUGGGUUUAAAGGGUGCGUAGGCGGUCCGUUAAGUCAGCGGUAAAAUUGCGGGGCUCAACCCCGUCGAGCCGUUUGAACUGGCGCGCUUGAGUUCAGGCGAGGUAGGCGGAAUUCGUGGUGUAGCGGUGAAAUGCAUAGAUAUCACGCAGAACCCCGAUUGCGAAGGCAGCAUGCCGGCUUCCGACUGACGCUGAAGCACGAAAGCGUGGGGAUCGAACAGG
rnacentral:rRNA from 1 species